rnacentral:tRNA from 1 species
GCGCAUGUGGUGUAACGGUAGCAUACUAGGCGUGUACUCGAGAAGUCUAGGUUCGAGUCCUGGCGAGAGCA